UACGAGGGGGGCAAGCGUUGUUCGGAUUUAUUGGGCGUAAAGGGUGCGUAGGCGGUUUGGCAAGUCUUGUGUGAAAUCUUUGGGCUCACCCCAAAGUCUGCACAAGAAACUGCCGGGCUUGAGUAUGGGAGAGGUGAGUGGAAUUUCCGGUGUAGCGGUGAAAUGCGUAGAGAGCGGAAGGAACACCUGUGGCGAAAGCGGCUCACUGGACCAUGACUGACGCGGAGGCACGAAAGCUAGGGGAGCAAACAGG
rnacentral:rRNA from 1 species